rnacentral:rRNA from 1 species
CUACGGGGGGCAGCAGUGGGGAAUAUUGCACAAUGGGCGCAAGCCUGAUGCAGCCAUGCCGCGUGUAUGAAGAAGGCCUUCGGGUUGUAAAGUACUUUCAGCGGGGAGGAAGGGAGUAAAGUUAAUACCUUUGCUCAUUGACGUUACCCGCAGAAGAAGCACCGGCGUAACUCCGUGCCAGCAGCCGCGGUAAUACGGAGGGUGCAAGCGUUAAUCGGAAUUACUGGGCGUAAAGCGCACGCAGGCGGUUUGUUAAGUCAGAUGUGAAAUCCCCGGGCCCAACCUGGGAACUGCAUCUGAUACUGGCAAGCUUGAGUCUCGUAGAGGGGGGUAGAAUUCCAGGUGUAGCGGUGAUAUGCGUAGAGAUCUGGAGGAAUACCGGUGGCGAAGGCGGCCCCCUGGACGAAGACUGACGCUCAGGUGCGAAAGCGUGGGGAGCAAACAGGAUUAGAUACCCGCGUAGUC